GGCCAUUCUCUGUGCAGACACCAUCACACUGGCCCUCUAGGGCUCUGCAACAAUCACACACCCUUAUCCCACCCCCUAGAUACUUAAGAAAUGCCUAGGGAAAACUGAGGUACCACACAGUAUUUAGAGAGAACAUUAAGAACGGUCCCAUUUCAUCACAGCUGCUACCACUGAGAA